GCUGCGACUACAAGAAGGAGCAGCAGAAACAAACGCGAGUGAGGCAUAGUAUCGUAUCGUGUUAAGAAAAAGAGAAGAAGAAAAAUGCGAAAGUUCGAUCCAUGGCCAGUUUUCUUCAAGCGCGAAUGGAAACGGACAUGGCCAUUCCUCGUUGGAUUCGCCAUCACCGGAACCAUAAUCACCAAGUUUUCUCUCGGCCUUACCGAGGAAGAUGCUAAGAAUUCGAAAUUCGUUCAGGCGCACAAAAGGUCCAGGUGAUUUCUGAGUCGUGACAUUUCUGCUGGCUUUGCACUGUGUUAGGUUUGUCAAGAUUACUUUGCCUGUUUCGAUUUUAUGGAUUUGUAAUAACAGAAGAGAGAUGUUCUAGAUAGUCUCUCUAAGUAAUUUCUGAUUUGAGUUAUUUCCUUUUUUGUAAUACUUAUCCUACUUUGAGUUUCUCGUUUUAUGCACUCGCCAUAAUCUUGGGGAAAAUAGAUUUUAUAACAGUGUACAAUUUUCCUUGCUGAAGUUUACAAUUCAGUUUUAACUA